UCAUCUUUAAAAUAUACUAGGGUAAAAUACACGAAAGCUCUGACAUUACCUGGAAUUAUAGGAACAAAGGAGCGAGUAAGUUUAGGAAGAUCAAUCCAUGAAAUAAUGCUUCUCAAAAUUCCGCCAAUCAGGCUGAGGGAAACUUGAAGUCCUUCUCUUAGCUAGUGAAUGGGGCUCAUCUCAGGGUGGACUCUCCACCAUGAACAGGGAAUUGGCCAUACACUUGGCAGAACAACCCAAUGUGAUCGUCAGCUUCCUCGUUCCGACUUACAACGGGAGUGACAAGGUGAUGGCAAGUUAUCAUAACAUUGCUGUCUUUGAAGCAGAUCAGCGCCCUGGCUAUGAGCCAAAUGAUUGUCUAAGCUUCCCACCAAGCAAUCUCAAUGUCGACAUUGUCAUUGGUCAUCGUGUGAAGCUUGGCAAACAAGCUCAGAUAAUAAAGGGAACCCAUCGCUGUAAGUGGGUCCAGGUUGUGCAUACAGUCCCUGAAGAGCUUGCGAUGUACAAACUUUACCCAGGAGCUAUCUCUAAAGGUGAAGAAAAGCACAUGACUGAAGUCCAGCUGUGUGAAAUGGCUGACCUUGUUGUACCAGUUGGUCCCAAGUUAUCUGAAGCCUACUCCGCGUACCUCAGCUCUUGCAGACAAAACGAUUCUUACUUUAUCGCCCGGAAUCUUCACUGAAUGGUCUAAUUUGAAGCGAUCCACUAGAAGUAGUACUAAAUUUCGUCUGCUCGUAUUUGGACGCGGUGACUCAGAAGACUUCGAGAUGAAGGGAUUCCACGUAGCUGCUCAAGCUGUGGCAGUACUUAACGACAGGAGCAACCACCUGAUCUUCGUUGGCGCUGCGAGUGGAAGACAAGAGCGAGUAGCACAGAAUCUACUGAAGCAAGGUUAGGAGCGCAGUCAUCUUUUCAAACGUGAUAACACAUGCGAGCUAGAGUCAGUCGAGAAAUUACUGGAGAAACGGUGGCAUCCAUGUUGAGGGUGUUCAAAAGCGCUAUUUCAGAUUUCCUAAAAUGUCUGAAACGGCCGAUCAAAUUCCCACCCUAGAAAUGGGUAUGGCAUUUUUCAUGGUUCAUGCACAUGAAUGUGUACUCUCGAUUAACGAAGACGACGCUGGCAUUGGUUACGCCAAGAUAUACAGAGUUUUACAACAGGCAACGGACAGAAGCAAAACAUCGGCGAAUGCUUACGAUACGAUGGAUUCGAACUUUUUCCAAGAAUCUUGGGACAAUUUCAAUUCUAUCAAUUUCAUUUCGUUAAUCGGGGACUGGGGCACAUAUUACGUAAUUAUGUAACCCGUGACAACGGAAGCACGUGCUUAUUAUUAAGUGCCUGCCCACCCUUUCAAGUUGUUAAUUCGAAUCUAUUGGGUAAGAGAGUUAGAUUGACCGUAAUUGUGCGAAGACCUUGUGAAUCUUGCGAUUAUUAAACACGUUAACAUCAA
rnacentral:misc_RNA from 1 species